rnacentral:rRNA from 1 species
UACGUAGGGGGCAAGCGUUGUCCGGAAUUAUUGGGCGUAAAGCGCGCGCAGGCGGUCAUUUAAGUCUGGUGUUUAAGCCCGGGGCUCAACCCCGGUACGCACUGGAAACUGGGUGACUGGAGUGCAGGAGAGGGGAGUGGAAUUCCACGUGUAGCGGUGAAAUUCGUAGAUAUCGGGAGGAACACCAGUGGCGAAGGCGGCGACCUGGGCCAAUAUUGACGCUGAGGUGCGAAAGCGUGGGGAGCAAACAGG